rnacentral:rRNA from 1 species
CGGGUGAGUAACGCGUAGGUAACCUGCCUUGUAGCGGGGGAUAACUAUUGGAAACGAUAGCUAAUACCGCAUAACAAUGGGUGACACAUGUCAUUUAUUUGAAAGGGGCAACUGCUCCACUACAAGAUGGACCUGCGUUGUAUUAGCUAGUAGGUGAGGUAACGGCUCACCUAGGCGACGAUACAUAGCCGACCUGAGAGGGUGAUCGGCCACACUGGGACUGAGACACGGUCCAAACUCCUACGGGAGGCAGCAUG